CAACCCCUCUCUUCCUCUCCUCGCAGAGGGAAGAAGAAGAAGAAGAAGCCCGAUUGGCCACCCCUCUCCCCGAAUGGGAGGCUGGUCGAUCCCGCGCCAAUAAGCAGCGCCUCGGCGGGCGGGUGGGUGGCCGGGGGGGAUUGGUUCGCUCGCCCCGCUCCUUCCUUCGAUCCAGCCGAUCGAUCCCAGUCGAAUCCAAUCCAAUCCAAUCCAAUAAAUUUAUCCUACUCCUCCUCGCCGGCCGCCGUCCGCCGUCUUCGCUUCGCUCGGACCCCCCACCCGGUUGGUUGGAUUUUAGAAAGUUUCCCCCGUUCGUUCCUUCCUUCUGUUUCGAUUUGGGAUCUUCAGUUCAUCGGCUGCCCGGCGGUUUCUUCUUCAGCCCCAUUUGAUUUCACUUAGGUCCAUUCAGUACUCAGCAUAUCCGUUUGCCUUCAAUCGAGCAAGAAUAUAUACGCAGCCGCCGGCUCGUGCGAGAGAUGGAACAUGCGAUGCCCACGAUGGCCGCGGAGUCCGAGGGCGCCACCACCGACGACGACGUGCACCUCUCCCCGACCAGCGUCAGCAGCGGUGGUGGAGGAGGAGGAGGCGGCCCCCCCAGCGUCCGCUUCAAGAUACUCUGCAGCUUCGGCGGCCGCAUCAUGCCCCGCCCGUCCGACGGCGCGCUCAAGUACAUUGGCGGCGACACCCGCGUCCUCGCCGUGCCCCGCUCCAUCCGCUUCCGCGAUUUGAAGAAGAAGGUGGAGGAGAUGUUCAAGACGGAUGUGGCGGCCAUCAAGUACCAGCUGCUCUCCUCCGACGACCUCGACGUGCUCGUCUCCGUCACCUGCGACGAGGACCUGGCCCACAUGCUCGACGAGUACGACCGGUUCGAGGCGAAGCGGUCGCCGUCCGCGUCGCCCCGUUUCCGCGUCUACGUCUUCGUGCCGCACCAGGUCUCCGCCUCGUCGGUCGCCGCCGCCGUCCCCGCCCCCGUCGCCUCUUCGCGCCACGUCAGCUACGCCCGCAACCAGCCGCACUACCAUCCCCACCACCACCACCUCCAGCCGGAGCGGGAGCGCUACGUGGCCUCGGUGCCCGGCACGCCCGACGGAAGCCCGCCGUACCCGGACCAGCCCAACGGCGUCGCCUCGGCGGGUAACUCCCCGCGCGCCAACAUCGUGGAGCAGGCCGUGUUCCGCGGCGGGAUGCAGCGCGUCCGGAGCUCGCCCAACCUCGGCGGCCUGAACGCGGCACUGCUACCCUUCCAUGACCACGCCGGGGACAGCCCCGGAGGCCUGGCUGGAUACAUGAGCGGCUCGCCCGUGCACCCGGGCGGCGGCCACAUAUUCUCGCAGGGCAGCUACAACCCCUACCGCAGCCCGCAGCCGCAGUACUCUCCAGCGCCCGUGCCCGUGCCGCACCACGCCGGCGUGGCCGGGAGGUACGACGCGCGUGGCGGUUACGCGCGGGGCGGCAGCUACAUGGCGGCGCCGCUGGCGCCAGCGCUCCGGUCUGGCCGGCCGGUCACCAGGAGCGGCGGGGCGCCGUACAGCGAGAUGCAGGCGCCGAAGAAGACGGCGACGAUAUGGGACUGAGGUGGUUCUGCAGCGGUCGGUUCGGGUCGGGCGUUGGAGUUGGAGGCAGUAACUUGCGACUUGCUUGAGAUACAUGGAUACUUCCAUGCGGCCUUGUUAGCAGGCUGUUUUGUGGUUGAAAUGUUAUCCAGGCUGAGAAUUAACAAGUUUUCUUCACAUAUCAGGGCUCUCUGGCUGGAAUGCCUGAACUGGUUUUCAUUGUGCACCAAACUGUCGAUCGUUUUAUGUUGAACGUUCCAACGUCUGCUUUGCUCGU
rnacentral:rRNA from 1 species